rnacentral:rRNA from 1 species
AUCAUUAGCGGAGGAAAAGAAACCAACAGGGAUUGCCCUAGUAACGGCGAGUGAAGCGGCAACAGCUCAAAUUUGAAAUCUGGCCCCCUCGGGGUCCGAGUUGUAAUUUGCAGAGGGAGCUUUUGGCGUCGGUCGUGGUCUAAGUUCCUUGGAACAGGACGUCACAGAGGGUGAGAAUCCCGUACGUGGCCGCCGGCCUUCGCCUUGUAAAGCCCCUUCGACGAGUCGAGUUGUUUGGGAAUGCAGCUCUAAAUGGGAGGUAAAUUUCUUCUAAAGCUAAAUACCCGCCAGAGACCGAUAGCGCACAAGUAGAGUGAUCGAAAGAUGAAAAGCACUUUGGAAAGAGAGUGAAAAAGCACGUGAAAUUGUUGAAAGGGAAGCGCUUGCGGCCAGACUUGCCCGCGGUUGAUCAUCCAGGCUCCGGCCUGGUGCACUCCUCCGCGGGCAGGCCAGCAUCAGUUCGGGCGGUCGGAUAAAGGCCUCUAUCACGUACCACCCCUCGGGGUGGCCUUAUAGGGGAGGCGCAACACGGCCAGCCCGGACUGAGGUUCCGCGCAUCUGCUAGGAUGCUGGCGUAAUGGCAGCAAGCGGCCCGUCUUGAAACACGGACCAAGGAGUCUAACAUCUAUGCGAGUGUUUGGGUGUCAAGCCCGAGCGCGCAAUGAAAGUGAACGGAGGUGGGAACCCUUACCGGUGCACCAUCGACCGAUCCUGAUGUCUUCGGAUGGAUUUGAGUAAGAGCAUAGCUGUUGGGACCCGAAAGAUGGUGAACUAUGCCUGAAUAGGGUGAAGCCAGAGGAAACUCUGGUGGAGGCUCGCAGCGGUUCUGACGUGCAAAUCGAUCGUCAAAUUUGGGCAUAGGGGCGAAAG